rnacentral:rRNA from 1 species
UACGGAGGGAGCUAGCGUUGUUCGGAAUUACUGGGCGUAAAGCGCACGUAGGCGGCUCUGUAAGUUAGAGGUGAAAGCCUGGAGCUCAACUCCAGAAUUGCCUUUAAGACUGCAUCGCUUGAAUCCAGGAGAGGUGAGUGGAAUUCCGAGUGUAGAGGUGAAAUUCGUAGAUAUUCGGAAGAACACCAGUGGCGAAGGCGGCUCACUGGACUGGUAUUGACGCUGAGGUGCGAAAGCGUGGGGAGCAAACAGG